rnacentral:rRNA from 1 species
CCCCUUUGGGCGAGACCCCCGGGAACUGGGGAUAAUACCCGAUAGGUGUGGAGGCCUGGAAUGGUUCCACGCUCAAAUGCACGGCGACCAUGUUUGUCGCGUGCCCAAGGAUGGGGCUGCGGCCGAUCAGGCAGUUGGCGAGGUAACGGCUCACCAAACCUGUGACCGGUACGGGCCAUGAGAGUGGUAGCCCGGAGAUGGACACUGAGACAGGGGUCCAGGCCCUACGGGGCGCAGCAGGCGCGAAAACUCCACAAUGUACUCAAGUACGAUGGGGUUAUCUCGAGUGCAGUCCGAUUAGGGCUACUUUUCCAUAGAGUAAUAUCCUGUGGGAAUAAGAGGGGGGCAAGACUGGUGUCAGCCGCCGCGGUAACACCAGCCCCUCGAGUGGUGGGGAUGUUUAUUUGGCCUAAAGCGUCCGUAGCCGGCUGUAGCCGUCACCCGUUAAAUCCAGCGUCUCAAGCGUUGGGCUGCGGGUGAUACCCUACAGCUAGAGGGUGGGAGAGGUAAGCGGUAUUCCUGGGGUAGGGGCGAAAUCCUUUGAUCCCAGGAGGACCACCAGUGGCGUAGGCUGCUUACUAGAACACGCCUGACGGUCAGGGACGAAAGCUGGGGUAGCGAACCGGAUUAGAUACCCGGGUAGUCCCAGCUGUAAACGAUGCUCGCUAGGUGUUGGGUCGGCCACGCGCCGCCCCAGUGCCGCAGGGAAGCCGUUAAGCGAGCCGCCUGGGGAGUACGGCCGCAAGGCUGAAACUUAAAGGAAUUGGCGGGGGAGCAC